CUGGCCUUUGACCAUCUUGGGAAAGAGUGGGUCCCAGAGAGAGAAGGUGGGGCGAGCAAUGCCACUAUCCACCGCACCUACUGCAGACAGUGGGAGCCACUGCUUGAAUAACUGCCCUCUCCCCCAUUUGGGCAAACCCACUCCCAGCACAGAUGAAGACAAUGAACACUUAAUUAGGGAAGACGUCUGAGGCCUCAUGGUGAUUUAGGGGCGAUAGGGGUUAAGAUAUAGUUCCUCAAGAUCUCAUUCUUUUAAAGAAAUAAUCCAAAGACACCUGCAGCCAAGUCAAGUUGGUUAAAUAUCAAUGCAAGCAGAGGGGCUGACCAUGAGUAUCCACAGGGGUAAGGGCCUAAGGCAGGGACUUCAUUUCUGCUUCCAUCUACCGUUGGUGAAUUAUGCCAUCCAUUUAAGGCUUGGUUUCGUUUCAUUAUUUAAUUGGAUUUUCAAGAUGGGAAAAUUGAGAUCUGGAGAAGUUCUUUGCCUAAGGCCUGGCAGCUUGUGAGAGGCAGGGUAAGGAUCAGAGACAGCCAGGAGGUUUCCUGGCCACCCUGGGGGUGCUCCCCCCCAACAUGUGGAAGAGUUUGGAGUACGGGCCUUGUACCGUUCAUCGUAUGGGACGUGUGGACUUACUGUGUUUGGGGAACUCGCCUAUUUACAUGUGGGGGAGUCACUGACCAGUCUCAGCUGUUCAGACACGUCAACACUUGGCUCUUGAGCUGGGUUUGUAAAGUGGCGCUUGGCAAGUAUGUAUAUCACAUGUUCCUGCACAUGGUGUGGAUCAAACCAUCCAUGACUCUAGGACAUUCUUGUGUGAAUUUAUGUGUGAAAUCUGCCAUCUUUUGGCUCUGCUGGCAAGACUCUGGGGACUCCUCCACUCAUACGUGACCAUCACAACCACCAGAGUUAAGGUUGAGAAGAGAGGACCUCUCCUGAUGACUGGACUGAGCAGAAGUUCAGAAAAUGAGGUCCUAUAAAAUGCUCAUCCCGCCGAAGAAUAGCUCGCUCCGUCUUGGGAAGCCAGCAUCAGAGGCUGUAAAUCAACUCCUCUUCUGUUUUAAUACUGAAUUAACAACCAGGCAGGGGGAGAAAUGGAGCAUUUAAAUAUUUAAACCAAACAUUUAAUUUUUAAAUACGGACAUUCUUUUUAUAACUCGGACUGCCCUUCAAGGCCUGUGGAAAAAUUCCCUGAGUCUACGCAGUCAGCCCCACUUCAUGGUAAAGAGCUUGGCUAACCUUGAGUGCCUCUGGACCUGGCAGGGCUAACUCUUUUGUUUUAUUCAGAAAAAGGCACAUUUGUGUCCUAAUAAAGAUA